UACGUAGGUGGCGAGCGUUGUUCGGAGUUACUGGGCGUAAAGCGUGCGUAGGCGGUUGUCUAAGUUUGGUGUGAAAUCUCCCGGCUUAACUGGGAGGGUGCGCCGAAAACUGGGUGACUGGAGUGUCGGAGAGGUAAGCGGAAUUCCUGGUGUAGCGGUGAAAUGCGUAGAGAUCAGGAGGAACACCUGUGGUGUAGACCGCUUACUGGACGAUAACUGACGCUGAGGCACGAAAGCGUGGGUAGCAAACCGG
rnacentral:rRNA from 1 species